GUCGAGCGGUAGCACAGGGGAGCUUGCUCCCUGGGUGACGAGCGGCGGACGGGUGAGUAAUGUCUGGGAAACUGCCUGAUGGAGGGGGAUAACUACUGGAAACGGUAGCUAAUACCGCAUAACGUCGCAAGACCAAAGAGGGGGACCUUCGGGCCUCUUGCCAUCAGAUGUGCCCAGAUGGGAUUAGCUAGUAGGUGGGGUAAUGGCUCACCUAGGCGACGAUCCCUAGCUGGUCUGAGAGGAUGACCAGCCACACUGGAACUGAGACACGGUCCAGACUCCUACGGGAGGCAGCAGUGGGGAAUAUUGCACAAUGGGCGCAAGCCUGAUGCAGCCAUGCCGCGUGUGUGAAGAAGGCCUUCGGGUUGUAAAGCACUUUCAGCGAGGAGGAAGGUGGUGAACUUAAUACGUUCAUCAAUUGACGUUACUCGCAGAAGAAGCACCGGCUAACUCCGUGCCAGCAGCCGCGGUAAUACGGAGGGUGCAAGCGUUAAUCGGAAUUACUGGGCGUAAAGCGCACGCAGGCGGUUUGUUAAGUCAGAUGUGAAAUCCCCGGGCUCAACCUGGGAACUGCAUUUGAAACUGGCAAGCUAGAGUCUCGUAGAGGGGGGUAGAAUUCCAGGUGUAGC
rnacentral:rRNA from 1 species